rnacentral:lncRNA from 13 species
GCAGGUUGAUCUCAAAAAUUUGAUUUCUUUUAAAUUUAGUAUUUUUUUCUUCAACCUCAGGUUUGAAAAGACUUCUGGCCGGGCGCGGUGGCUCAAGCCUGUAAUCCCAGCACUCUGGGAGGCCGAGGCAGGUGGAUCACGAGGUCGAGAGAUCGAAACCAUCCUAGUCAACAUGGUGAAACCCCGUCUCUACUAAAAAUACAAAAAAUUAGCUGGGCAUGGUGGCGCGUGCCUGUAAUCCCAGCUACUCGGGAGGCUGAGGCAGGAGAAUUGUCUGAACCCAGAAGGCAGAGGUUGCGGUGAGCCGAGAUUGCGCCAUUGCACUCCAGCCUGGGUAACAAGAGCAAAACUCCGUCUCAAAAAAAAAGAAAAGACUUCAAAAAUUUGAGGAGAAAACAGGCUGUAAAUCCUCUGAAAUGAAAACCGAGGAAGAUUGGAAACUUUCAAAAACUUAAUUUGAACUGAAAAUGCAAAUAAUCUGAUUAAUGAAGGAAGAAAAACAAAACUGUGGCAACCUGUGACUCAUGCCUGGGACAGUUUCUCUCAGUUUUCCUGCCUUACUUCCAACACUCUGCGCGAGCACUUGAAGAGGAAUCCGGGGAAGGAGUUGACAGGUGAGUCUCAUUUUUUUGGGCUGGGGCUUCUCGGGAUUCUCAAACCAGAUCACAAUCAAUCUUUAACAAAGGUUGUCAUCAGCUGAUUUCUUUUUACCCCAUCUACAGUGGUACUUUUUUCCUCCUACUGCUCUGCCAAGCAUGAAAGCAAGCUUGGAUCACUUCUCUCUUCUAAAAAGAGUGCCCCAUUGUCAAUUACAGAAUUCAAAAUGGCAGUAAAAAAAAUGGGAAAAGAGAAAUUUUUCAAAAGUUGCUGUUUGUUUUAAAAUAAGAUGGCAAUUUUUCCUAAGGAGUCUCAUAAUGGGAGCAUUAGAGAAUGUAAUAGAAAAAUAAGGUUGUCCAUAAAAACCGCCUCUCAACAGAAACAAUGAUGAAUUUCUGACUGGGUGCAGUGGCUCACAUCUGAAAUCCCAGCACUUUGGGAGGCUGAGGAUGAGGAAUCACCUGAGGUCAGGAGUGUGAGACCAGUCUGGCCAACAUGGUGAAACCCCGUCUCUACUAAAAACACAAAAACUAGCUGGGUGUGGUGUGGGGGAGGAGGCACCUGUAAUCCCAGCUACUCGUGAGGCUGAGGCAGGAGAAUUACUUGAACCUGGGAGUUAGAGGCUGCAAUUAGCCGAGAUAGUGCCAUUGCACUCCAGCCUGGGCAACAGAGCAACUCUCCAUCUCAAAAAAGGGGGGGAAAAAAAGAUAAAUUUCUUAGAACUUUUAUGAGAGUAUCUUUUAA